rnacentral:lncRNA from 1 species
UGAUGAGAUUUAUCACCCAAAACCGUUUUUGUGCGGCCGACUGGAGAACGUUAUUACAGCACAAUAAAAACCCCAAGUAACGUGAUUUUUUGCACAGUGAGUGAGCUGAAAUUCAGAUUUUUUUGAAGAAAACUCCCUGUUUUCUUGAAGAAAACUCCCUGUUUUCUUUCUAUUCCUGGCACAGACCCCGAGCAGUGUCUGCUGGCCCUGACACUCAUCCUGUCUGUCACAUCCCUCUCCAGACCUGGCUCCCCAUGUCCACAGCCACAGAAACACCAUUUUCCUUUCCCUUUGCUUCACCACCUUUAUAUCCAAUAAUUUUAUGCCUUUCUCACCUUUAAUAUUUCCAUUUUUCCCCAUUAUCCAUGGUAGGGUGGAAUUGGGGCUCAAGGAGAACCUGUUGGCAGAACUGAAGGGUGAGGGAAAAAUCCAGCCACCACUUUUUAAUUUUUAAUGCAAAAAUCUGUUGGUUUGGAGGGGAAAGGCACAGGGUAAAAAGGAUCUGGAGGUGGUGAAAUGGGACUGGGAUGGUUUUGAACCACGCUGUGUUCUCUCUGUUCAAUGGCAGGGGAUCAGAGGAGGGUGACAAAAGCAAUGUGGACACUGCAGCUCCUUCCAAGGGCUCCCAACCCUCCAGGGAUGGGCACCCUUCCAGCCGGGAUCUGAGGGACGAGGAGUGGAUGAGCUCUGGCUGAAUAAAUUGAAUUUAUUCCACGGCUGCUCCUGCCCAGCCCUGGUGCUCUGUGCUGCUGCACCCCUCUGGAAGGAGGGCAGGAGGGCAAGGAGGAGAAGCUCAGCUCUGAGAGAAGGCUCCAAACUGCCCCAAGGAGCUGAACUGUCCCUGGAAGCUGAGCCUGGUGCUCCCAGGUCAUUCCACCCUUCCACCUGAGUGCCCUGCUGGCGGCUUCACCCUGAGGAUGGAUUCUGCAAGAAAUGCUGAGAAACAUCGCAAAUGCUGAGGGUUGAGAGGAGUCCUCUCAGCGCACGGACUCAUUUGUGGAUAAAGUCACACUCAGCUGGAUCCCAGCUCCUCCAGAACCACCAGGUGUGGGGAAGGAUCCCAAAUUCACCAUCAGUGGACUUUGGUUU